CGGCGAGAAGCUCGGGAGCUCUUGGUAACCGGAGCCGGAGCUGAGACCGCAGCCUGCGCCCUCCCCGGGGGCACCGAGGGGGCGCUCAGCCGGGCCCUCGGAGCGCUGCUUUCCGAAGGGCUCACGGCCGCUCGGCAGUCUUGUUAUGGAAGAAGGUGGCGGUGAGGGCACUCCGACCUCUCAGCUAUACCAUGAGAAUUCGACCUCUGAGGAGGGCUCUCAGAUCUUUGAGAUGAACCCAAAGUUAUCAACCUCUGACGGUGCGCUGGGGCCCGGGGAGGAACACGGGGUCCGUGGAGGAUGGGGUGGGCUCCGAGGGAUUUGGACUUGGCCUGACAGACACCUGGGAAAUGCUGGGAGGGCUCUCUGGGGCCGAACUCUGGAAUCUGGUGUGCCCCGGAGGUGCUUUUAGAAGAAUUGCAGCACCGGAAGUUCCAGAGCAGAGAGGAAGGAUGUUGACUCUUCUGGUGCGGUGGAGGAGGAUUUGAGAGCCAGAAAAGAGUCUGGCAACAGCGGCCAUUGGCCAGAGCAGGGCUCCUCACUGACCGGGGUGUGCUGGAGAGGAGCCGGCCUCAGUGCUGGGGACAGCCAAGCAGCCCUGUCAGGAGCCUCCAAGGGAGGGGCAUGGAAAUAAGAGUCAAACACGAGUUUCCUGUGCAGUGCAGCCUUUGGCAGCCCAGGGUUUUGGUUUCCAUUUCGGGUACACAGACAAGGGAAGCUGGUAGUUAAACUGGGCUUUUACAAAGCUAUUCCGCUCUCUGUGGGAGAUGUCUUUUCCGCUCUGGCUCCCAAGGACCGCAAACAGUCAGCCCUUCAGAGCUGAAGCCUGACUAGAUGAAAGUCGCUUCCCCUCUCCUACUUCUCCCCCAUGAAGCUUUCCACAGUGAAGCGGGAGGUGCAUUGGCAGUGACCUGCUGCCAGUUGGUGUUCACAGAUUGCAUUUGCUCUUCAAAAGUGCUUAUUCAUAGUGUGAAAUUCCAGGAAAAUCCCCAUUUGGUGGGCGGUAGUGGACUGUGGAGUCAGACUUACCUGAGUGAAGAGAAAAUCCUUUCUGACUAGACUGUUGACUCCAGCACUUGGUAUUCAGACAGAAGAACCUGUCGUCUCAAGGUCCAGGAGAAAGAAAUCCUUCCUUCCUCUUCUGGGGUUUCUAGGAAGAAGAAGAGACUCAAACCUGCAAUCAGGAUGCCUGGAUUCUUUUCCUUACACUAACAGCCCUGUGACCUGAAGAAUUCAUUGGUUCCUCCUGACCCUCUGUGUUGUCCUCUUUUAAAUCAGUCCCUUCCCUAUCUCCUCCACAGGUCUAUUGAGAAGAUAAAAUCGGAGAGGGGAGAGAGGGCAAGGCACUGCCCAGGCUAAGAUGCUGGGAAAUAGAAGGGGAUGUUGUUUUUGUAAUUUAAAUUAGGGAUCCAGGUGACAUCUGCUGUAGACUCUCUGCUCACUGGACUGCUGUGGGUAGCCAAUGAGAGAAUAAAUCCAGAAGGGGCUCUAUAAAGGUCUAAAGGACCUUUAUAGAGAAGAGAUGGGGCAAUUCGAUAGAGUUCUGACUUGUUAGAACUUUCUCGUUCUGAUCAUUCUAGUAGAGUGAGACAGAAUCUCUUUGACUUUGGCCAUGGGCUCAGGAGAAUGGAUGAGCAACUUCAGAGGGCAGCAGAACUUUGCUGAAGCUGAGUCAGUCGGAGAGCCAUACCUUAAGCAAAGUGUGUUUUUUACCUUGUUUCCUAGUCUAUGUUGAACCCUUUUAUAAUGAUAAUUAAGAGAAUUUCUUUCCCUCUUCCUUUCUUAGAGUGGGAGGAAAGGAAAGAGAAGUUAGUCUCCUUCCUUGGAUACUUCCUACCUAUUACUGUGAGCUGGGGCAAGUCUGAAAGAAGAGCAUACAGAUUGAGACAGUCAUUGCAAAUGGUCAAUGAUGGGGCCUAGAAUUUCAUAGGAAAAGGAAGUCAUAAGUCCAGCAUUUAUCCAGUUACUACUAUCUACCAAGCACUUUGCUAAGCACGGUAGACUCUCUGUACACUUGAGUCACCUUGGUGCCCCUGGAAUAGAUUCUUCAUCCUGAUGUAAUUUAAGAGGUAGAAGAGCUCUCAGAGAUCAGUUAGUAAACCCAUCCUCAUUUUAAUGAUGAAGAAAUGGAGAAGCUUUUGUUGACUGACUGAUAUUUAUCUGGCUGUUUAAAAGAAGAAAGAAGAAAAAUAUUUGUCCUCCAAACUCUCUGACUGUCCCUGUGUCACAGUUGUGACAGAACUGUCAUUUUCUCAAUACCCUCCAAACCAAGGCUCCUUGUAUAGAUUAGGGAAACCCCAUCCCUCUUACCUCAUCCUCUAUCCUUGUCCUGUCUUCCUCAAUAAACCUUACUUGAGAAAAGAGUAUCUUCUCUAAA